AUACAGAGGGUGCGAGCGUUAAUGGGAAUUACUGGGCGUAAAGCGCGCGUAGGCGGCUUGGUCAGUCGGAUGUGAAAGCCCCGGGCUUAACCUGGGAAUUGCAUUCGAUACUGCCAGGCUAGAAUGUAGUAGAGGGUAGUGGAAUUCCGGGUGUAGCGGUGAAAUGCGUAGAUAUCCGGAGGAACAUCAGUGGCGAAGGCGACUACCUGGACUAACAUUGACGCUGAGGUGCGAAAGCGUGGGGAGCAAACAGGAUUAGAAACCCUAGUAGUCC
rnacentral:rRNA from 1 species